UUAAGCGACUAAGCGUACACGGUGGAUGCCCUGGCAGUCAGAGGCGAUGAAGGACGUGCUAAUCUGCGAUAAGCGUCGGUAAGGUGAUAUGAACCGUUAUAACCGGCGAUUUCCGAAUGGGGAAACCCAGUGUGAUUCGUCACACUAUCAUUAACUGAAUCCAUAGGUUAAUGAGGCGAACCGGGGGAACUGAAACAUCUAAGUACCCCGAGGAAAAGAAAUCAACCGAGAUUCCCCCAGUAGCGGCGAGCGAACGGGGAGGAGCCCAGAGCCUGAAUCAGUGUGUGUGUUAGUGGAAGCGUCUGGAAAGGCGCGCGAUACAGGGUGACAGCCCCGUACACAAAAAUGCACAUGCUGUGAGCUCGAUGAGUAGGGCGGGACACGUGGUAUCCUGUCUGAAUAUGGGGGGACCAUCCUCCAAGGCUAAAUACUCCUGACUGACCGAUAGUGAACCAGUACCGUGAGGGAAAGGCGAAAAGAACCCCGGCGAGGGGAGUGAAAAAGAACCUGAAACCGUGUACGUACAAGCAGUGGGAGCACGCUUAGGCGUGUGACUGCGUACCUUUUGUAUAAUGGGUCAGCGACUUAUAUUCUGUAGCAAGGUUAACCGAAUAGGGGAGCCGAAGGGAAACCGAGUCUUAACUGGGCGUUAAGUUGCAGGGUAUAGACCCGAAACCCGGUGAUCUAGCCAUGGGCAGGUUGAAGGUUGGGUAACACUAACUGGAGGACCGAACCGACUAAUGUUGAAAAAUUAGCGGAUGACUUGUGGCUGGGGGUGAAAGGCCAAUCAAACCGGGAGAUAGCUGGUUCUCCCCGAAAGCUAUUUAGGUAGCGCCUCGUGAAUUCAUCUCCGGGGGUAGAGCACUGUUUCGGCAAGGGGGUCAUCCCGACUUACCAACCCGAUGCAAACUGCGAAUACCGGAGAAUGUUAUCACGGGAGACACACGGCGGGUGCUAACGUCCGUCGUGAAGAGGGAAACAACCCAGACCGCCAGCUAAGGUCCCAAAGUCAUGGUUAAGUGGGAAACGAUGUGGGAAGGCCCAGACAGCCAGGAUGUUGGCUUAGAAGCAGCCAUCAUUUAAAGAAAGCGUAAUAGCUCACUGGUCGAGUCGGCCUGCGCGGAAGAUGUAACGGGGCUAAACCAUGCACCGAAGCUGCGGCAGCGACACUAUGUGUUGUUGGGUAGGGGAGCGUUCUGUAAGCCUGUGAAGGUGUGCUGUGAGGCAUGCUGGAGGUAUCAGAAGUGCGAAUGCUGACAUAAGUAACGAUAAAGCGGGUGAAAAGCCCGCUCGCCGGAAGACCAAGGGUUCCUGUCCAACGUUAAUCGGGGCAGGGUGAGUCGACCCCUAAGGCGAGGCCGAAAGGCGUAGUCGAUGGGAAACAGGUUAAUAUUCCUGUACUUGGUGUUACUGCGAAGGGGGGACGGAGAAGGCUAUGUUGGCCGGGCGACGGUUGUCCCGGUUUAAGCGUGUAGGCUGGUUUUCCAGGCAAAUCCGGAAAAUCAAGGCUGAGGCGUGAUGACGAGGCACUACGGUGCUGAAGCAACAAAUGCCCUGCUUCCAGGAAAAGCCUCUAAGCAUCAGGUAACAUCAAAUCGUACCCCAAACCGACACAGGUGGUCAGGUAGAGAAUACCAAGGCGCUUGAGAGAACUCGGGUGAAGGAACUAGGCAAAAUGGUGCCGUAACUUCGGGAGAAGGCACGCUGAUAUGUAGGUGAAGUCCCUCGCGGAUGGAGCUGAAAUCAGUCGAAGAUACCAGCUGGCUGCAACUGUUUAUUAAAAACACAGCACUGUGCAAACACGAAAGUGGACGUAUACGGUGUGACGCCUGCCCGGUGCCGGAAGGUUAAUUGAUGGGGUCAGCGCAAGCGAAGCUCUUGAUCGAAGCCCCGGUAAACGGCGGCCGUAACUAUAACGGUCCUAAGGUAGCGAAAUUCCUUGUCGGGUAAGUUCCGACCUGCACGAAUGGCGUAAUGAUGGCCAGGCUGUCUCCACCCGAGACUCAGUGAAAUUGAACUCGCUGUGAAGAUGCAGUGUACCCGCGGCAAGACGGAAAGACCCCGUGAACCUUUACUAUAGCUUGACACUGAACAUUGAGCCUUGAUGUGUAGGAUAGGUGGGAGGCUUGGAAGUGUGGACGCCAGUCUGCAUGGAGCCGACCUUGAAAUACCACCCUUUAAUGUUUGAUGUUCUAACGUUGACCCCUAAUCGGGGUUGCGGACAGUGUCUGGUGGGUAGUUUGACUGGGGCGGUCUCCUCCUAAAGAGUAACGGAGGAGCACGAAGGUUGGCUAAUCCUGGUCGGACAUCAGGAGG
rnacentral:rRNA from 1 species